CUAGAUUUGUUCUUCUACCCAUUGUACUGAUGAAAAUGAUUGGACAUAGGAGUUUAUCACCAAGGUAGGAAUAUUUGAAAAUUCAGAAAGGAACGUCAAAUGUUGGGCAAAACCCCCUCCCCCCAAAAACAACUCAGUUGAAGAUGUUUACCAAUUUAAAUGUUUGUCCUAAAAUAUGCAAUUCCUGGACUAUUUCCACAACUUAAAUUCUAGUGAGUAAACCUCAUGGUUUGAGGUGGUAUAUAUGUUUAAGCUACAGGAUGUUCCAAGAAAAAACCACAGAAAGACAUGAUAUCGAUUACAAUAGAUUGCUGUUGUGCUAAAAUGUGUUUCAUAAUGUUACAUUACAUUUAUGUUUUCUGUUGACCUGGAGGUAUAUGGCCACAGUAAUAAUUUUUUUCAGUUUUAUAAAAAGGGCAGCAUUAUAUUAGAGAACUGCAACUCUUUUAUACAAUUUGUAAAAUUUACUUAUUUCAGCUGUGAAGAAUGCAUUUUGA